GAAAGUGCGCUUUUCUAACGAUGCAUCCUGCGCGCGUGAAAUUGGGGCGGCGCCAAGAAGCAGGCCCAGUACCAAGCCGAGAACACGCCUGGUGUCUUUAGCAAACCUAUAAAGACUCGCGAACAGUGCGCAUUUCUCACGAUGCAAAAGGAAGCCAGCGCCGUACAUAGCCUUGACAUUGUCUGGUGCCUUCGGAAGCCUGUGACAGUAGACCAACGAACAUGAGCGCAUUUCUCACGAUGCAUCCAGCGUGCAUGACCUUAGGCUGGCGCCAAAGAAGCCAGCACAGUACAUGGCCGAUACAUUGCCUGGUGUCUUUAGGAAGCCG